rnacentral:rRNA from 1 species
UGGGGAAUUUUGGACAAUGGGCGAAAGCCUGAUCCAGCAAUGCCGCGUGUGUGAAGAAGGCCUUCGGGUUGUAAAGCACUUUUGUCCGGAAAGAAAUCCUUGGCUCUAAUACAGUCGGGGGAUGACGGUACCGGAAGAAUAAGCACCGGCUAACUACGUGCCAGCAGCCGCGGUAAUACGUAGGGUGCAAGCGUUAAUCGGAAUUACUGGGCGUAAAGCGUGCGCAGGCGGUUUGCUAAGACCGAUGUGAAAUCCCCGGGCUCAACCUGGGAACUGCAUUGGUGACUGGCAGGCUAGAGUAUGGCAGAGGGGGGUAGAAUUCCACGUGUAGCAGUGAAAUGCGUAGAGAUGUGGAGGAAUACCGAUGGCGAAGGCAGCCCCCUGGGCCAAUACUGACGCUCAUGCACGAAAGCGUGGGGAGCAAACAGGAUUAGAUACCCUGGUAGUCCACGCCCUAAACGAUGUCAACUAGUUGUUGGGGAUUCAUUUCCUUAGUAACGUAGCUAACGCGUGAAGUUGACCGCCUGGGGAGUACGGUCGCAAGAUUAAAACUCAAAGGAAUUGACGGGGUCAUAGCUGUUUUCU